AGAACGAACGUUAGCGGUGUGGCUUAGGCAUGCAAGUCGAGCGUGAAAGGCGCAAGCCGAGUAAAGCGGCGAAAGGGUGAGUAACACGUAACCAAUCUACCCAUGAGACUGGAAUAACCACUGGAAACGGUGGGUAAUGCCAGAUGGUCCAUCUUGGAGGCAUUUCCGAGCUGGUAAACGGUGGCGCGAGCUGCUGCUCUAGGAGGAGGUUGCGGGCUAUCAGCUAGUUGGUGGGGUAAUGGCUCACCAAGGCGAUGACGGCUACCGGGUCUGAGAGGACGGUCCGGCACACUGGGACUGAGACACUGCCCAGACUCCGUACGGGAGCUGCAGUCGAGAAUCUUCGCAAUGGGCAAAGCCUGACGGAGCGACACCGCGUGCAGGAUGAAGGCCUUGGUUGUAAACUGUACUGUCGUAGGUUCUAGGAACCACGUUACGGACGUUAAACGAACG
rnacentral:rRNA from 1 species